ACUUACUAGUGAGGUCCAUGAGGUAGAUGUACACAAAUUUUCUCUCGCAUAUGAAAAAGUUAUUUUUCGGUAUUUGAACUCACGAUCUCCAGGUUAGAAAGCAAAUAACAUUAUCAUUGUGACUAGACUCACCCUCGAUCUUAUUCCAUAUGUAAAAACACAUGAAUUAUAUAUAUGUUAAAGAUAUGUUUAUGUAAGAAGUUAAACAAAACAUACUUGGACUGUUGUAACAGCUUAUCAUCAAUACCUCUCUGUGAAUCACAUGAUUAACUAGCUACCUUGCCUAUAUAAAGGCCCUAAUAACUUGUCAAAGUAAACCAAACCAUUUGCAUACACAACUAGUGCUUAGUUAAGAAACUCUUGCAACCAUGUCUUCUUUCAGUUUCUCACCAUUCAUUGUAGCACUUGUGCUUCUAACAUUUGCAUACACAGAUGCACGUCACUUACUACAAUCACUGCCUGUGCCACUGCCAUCAUUGCCAGUGCCAGUGCCAUCAUUGCCUGUGCCAGUGCCUUCAUUGCCUGUGCCACUGCCAUCAUUGCCAGUGCCAUCACUGCCUUUGGUCCCAACCUUACCAAUUCCUAAUGUGCCAGUGGCACUUCCACCACUUCCUAAUGUGCCAGUCCCCGGUGUACCAAUCCCUCAAGUUCCAAAAAUCCCUCAAGUUAUUGAAGUUGAGUUGCCAACAUUGGCUAAGCCACAGUUACCUGAAGUUCCUAAAGUUGAGCUUCCACCAGUUGUGCCUGCAAUACCAAAGAUACCUGAUGUACCUUCAGUAGUUCCAGUUCCUCACUUGCCUAUUCCUUAAACUACUAUAUACUUUGGUUUACUAAACUCUUCUGUAUAAUUAUUGUAUUAUUUAUAAUUUGUUGUUGCCAUCUCAGGGUUGCUCUAUUAAAUUAUGUUAUCUUCAGUUUUUAUGUUGUUGUACUAUGUUCUACUGGAGCAUAUUGAUUGUGAUAUGUAAUGUAUUAGAGUUUCAUUAUUUCAGUUCAAUGUAAUCUUCAAUUUCUGAAUAUUGUGAUCAUUGAUGCAAAAUUUCUUCCAGCAUAGUCAAAUUCAGUGUGUGUGUGUGUAUAUGUAGACAAGCACAAAGUUGG
rnacentral:lncRNA from 1 species